GCUGGGCGUGGUGGUGCACGCCUGUAAUCCCAGCUACUUGGGAGGCUGAGGCACAAGAAUCACUGGAACCCAGGAGGCGGAGGUUGCAGUGAGCCAUGAUCACGCCACUGCACUCCAGCCUGGGUGACAGAGCGAGACUCUGUCUCCA
rnacentral:SRP_RNA from 1 species